AUGCAACAGCCAGUUCCAGCAGAGCUGGGCAGAAAGCCACAGACUACAGGCAGGUCCAUCUUCAGCACAAUGGGCAAAGCAGCCACCUCCUCCUGUACUCAGUACCAUGGGGACCUGAACCAACCUGCCUGCACAGCAUCUGGAAUAAAGCUUAUGCAAGAACAGAGAACAGUUUCAAAACAUGGCAUUCCAGGCUUAAAAACAAAGAGAUACAUGCCGGCACAGGAGGUUCCAAAGAAGGACUUUGUCUCAAGGAGGUCGAAUCCUGUUGCAUUCUUCUGGGGACCCACUGGAGAGAGGAGCAGUCCCUCCAAGCAUGCCAGUGGUGGCAGGAAAGAAAGGAGAGAGAAAACCUCAUUUAUAUCAGGUAGCUUCUCUGCUACUCCUAAGUCAGGCAUGCAUUGCUCAUUUAAACGUGUAGGAGUGCAAACAGGAGGAAGGGCUAAAAACAAAGGGUGCACCUGGCAGCCUGGGAAUCUCUCCUCAUAAACCUAAACCUGUGCUGGGCUGUCUGCAUCCUGUCAUCCAGGUAAAAGGAAUCAAAUAAAAAAAAAAAUUUAAAAAUCA
rnacentral:lncRNA from 1 species